CAGUAGCCGCGGUAAUACGAAGGGUGCAAGCGUUAAUCGGAAUUACUGGGCGUAAGGCGUGCGUAGGCGGUGAGUUAAGUCUGCUGUGAAAUCCCCGGGCUCAACCUGGGAAUGGCAGUGGAUACUGGCUCGCUAGAGUGUGUCAGAGGAUGGUGGAAUUCCCGGUGUAGCGGUGAAAUGCGUAGAGAUAUGGAGGAAUACCGAUGGCGAAGGCAGCCCCCUGGGAUAACACUGACGCUCAUGCACGAAAGCGUGGGGAGCAAACAGGAUUAGAUACCCGUGUAGUCCCUGUCUCUUAUAC
rnacentral:rRNA from 1 species